rnacentral:rRNA from 1 species
AGAGUUUGAUCCUGGCUCAGGACGAACGCUGGCGGCGUGGAUUAGGCAUGCAAGUCGAACGGCAAGGGCAUUUCGGUGCCCCUAGAGUGGCGAACGGGUGAGUAACGCGUAGGUGAUCUACCUCUAAGCGGGGGAUAGCCCCGGGAAACCGGGAUUAAUACCGCAUGUGACCGAAGGGUUAAAGGCGGCCUCUGCUUGCAAACUGUCGCUUAGAGAUGAGCCUGUGUCCUAUUAGCUAGUUGGUGAGGUAACGGCCCACCAAGGCGAUGAUAGGUAGGCGGCCUUAACGGGUGGUCGCCCACACUGGGAUUGAGAUACGGCCCAGACUCCUACGGGAGGCAGCAGUCGAGAAUAGUCUACAAUGGGAGAAAUCCUGAUAGUGCGACGCCGCGUGGACGAAGAAGCUUUUCGGAGUGUAAAGUCCUUUUCAAUACGAGCAGACCCUGGGAGGUUAAUAGCUUCUUGGGGUGGAUAGUAGUAUUGGAAUAAGCCACGGCUAACUCCGUGCCAGCAGCCGCGGUAAUACGGGGGUGGCAAGCGUUGUCCGGAAUCACUAGGCGUAAAGGGCAAGUAGGCGGAUAGGUAAGUCGGAUGUCAAAUCCAUCGGCUCAACCGGUGACAGGCAUUCGAUACUGUUUAUCUAGAGUAAGGUAGAGGAAGACGGAAUUCCUGGUGUAGCGGUGGAAUGCGCAGAUAUCAGGAAGAACACCAGUGGCGAAGGCGGUCUUCUGGGCCAUUACUGACGCUGAAUUGCGAAGGUGCGGGUAUCAAACAGGAUUAGAUACCCUGGUAGUCCGCACAGUAAACGAUAUACACUGGGUGUUGGGAGGGAACGACCCUUUCAGUGCCGUAGCUAACGCGUUAAGUGCAUCGCCUGGGGAGUACGAUCGCAAGGUUAAAACUCAAAGGAAUCGACGGGGCCCCGCACAAGCGGUGGAGUAUGUGGUUUAUUUCGAUGCAACGCGAAGAACCUUACCUGGGCUUGACAUCCCCGGAAUCCUGCAGAGAUGUGGGAGUGCCUCUUUUGAGGAACCGGGAGACAGGUGCUGCAUGGCUGUCGUCAGCUCGUGUCGUGAGAUGUUGGGUUAAGUCCCGCAACGAGCGCAACCCCUAUCCUUAGUUACCAACGGUUCGGCCGGGGACUCUAGGGAGACUGCCAGUGUAAUAAACUGGAGGAAGGUGGGGACGACGUCAAGUCAUCAUGGUCCUUAUGUCCAGGGCUACACACGUACUACAAUGGUCGGUACAGAGGGAAGCAGAGCCGCGAGGUGAAGCAAAUCCCAGAAAGCCGAUCUCAGUUCGGAUUGAAGUCUGCAACUCGACUUCAUGAAGU